rnacentral:rRNA from 1 species
AGGACGAACGCUGGCGGCGUGCUUAACACAUGCAAGUCGAGCGGAAAGGCCUUUCGGGGUACUCGAGCGGCGAACGGGUGAGUAACACGUGAGUAAUCUGCCCAUCGCUUCAGGAUAGCCAUCGGAAACGGUGAUUAAUACUGGAUAUGACAUUCCUUCGCAUGUUGGGUGUGGAAAGUUUUUUCGGCGGUGAUGUGCUCGCGGUCCUAGUCGAGCGUUUGUUGGGUGGGUAA